GACGAACCGUGCGAACGUUGUUCGGAAUCACUGGGCUUAAAGGGCGCGUAGGCGGGCUGCCAAGUCUGGGGUGAAAUCCUCCGGCUCAACCGGAGAACUGCCUCGGAUACUGGCGGUCUCGAGGAGGGUAGGGGCAUCUGGAACUGUGAGUGGAGCGGUGAAAUGCGUUGAUAUUCACAGGAACUCCGGUGGCGAAGGCGAGGUGCUGGACCCCAUCUGACGCUGAGGCGCGAAAGCCAGGGGAGCGAACGGG
rnacentral:rRNA from 1 species